rnacentral:rRNA from 1 species
AUUGAACGCUGGCGGCAGGCUUAACACAUGCAAGUUGAGCGGAAACGAUGUAGCUUGCUACAGGCGUCGAGCGGCGGACGGGUGAGUAACGCGUAGGAAUCUGCCUAGUAGUGGGGGACAACAUGUGGAAACGCAUGCUAAUACCGCAUACGCCCUACGGGGGAAAGGAGGGGAUCUUCGGACCUUUCGCUAUUAGAUGAGCCUGCGUAAGAUUAGCUAGUUGGUAGGGUAAAGGCCUACCAAGGCGACGAUCUUUAACUGGUCUGAGAGGAUGGCCAGUCACACUGGGACUGAGACACGGCCCAGACUCCUACGGGAGGCAGCAGUGGGGAAUAUUGGACAAUGGGCGCAAGCCUGAUCCAGCCAUGCCGCGUGUGUGAAGAAGGCCUUAGGGUUGUAAAGCACUUUCAGGGGUGAGGAAGGGUGUUUGGUUAAUAUCCAAACAUUUUGACGUUAGCCCCAGAAGAAGCACCGGCUAACUCUGUGCCAGCAGCCGCGGUAAUACAGAGGGUGCAAGCGUUAAUCGGAAUUACUGGGCGUAAAGCGCGCGUAGGUGGUUUGUUAAGUCGGAUGUGAAAUCCCAGGGCUCAACCUUGGAAUGGCACCCGAUACUGGCAGGCUAGAGUAUGGUAGAGGGGUGUGGAAUUUCCUGUGUAGCGGUGAAAUGCGUAGAUAUAGGAAGGAACAUCAGUGGCGAAGGCGACACCCUGGACUAAUACUGACACUGAGGUGCGAAAGCGUGGGGAGCAGACAGGAUUAGAUACCCUGGUAGUCCACGCCGUAAACGAUGUCUACUAGCCGUUGGGUUGUAAUGACUUAGUGGCGCAGCUAACGCAAUAAGUAGACCGCCUGGGGAGUACGGCCGCAAGGUUAAAACUCAAAUGAAUUGACGGGGGCCCGCACAAGCGGUGGAGCAUGUGGUUUAAUUCGAAGCAACGCGAAGAACCUUACCAAAUCUUGACAUCCUUUGACAACUCUAGAGAUAGAGCCUUCCCCUUCGGGGGACAAAGUGACAGGUGGUGCAUGGUUGUCGUCAGCUCGUGUCGUGAGAUGUUGGGUUAAGUCCCGCAACGAGCGCAACCCUUAAGCUUAGUUGCCAUCAUUAAGUUGGGCACUCUAAGUUGACUGCCGGUGACAAACCGGAGGAAGGUGGGGAUGACGUCAAAUCAUCAUGCCCCUUAUGAUUUGGGCUACACACGUGCUACAAUGGACAAUACAAAGGGCAGCGAAACCGCGAGGUCAAGCAAAUCCCAUAAAGUUGUUCCCAGUUCGGAUUGUAGUCUGCAACUCGACUACAUGAAGCUGGAAUCGCUAGUAAUCGUAGAUCAGCAUGCUACGGUGAAUACGUUCCCGGGUCU